UACGUAGGGUGCGAGCGUUAAUCGGAAUUACUGGGCGUAAAGCGUGCGCAGGCGGCUUUGCAAGACAGAUGUGAAAUCCCCGGGCUCAACCUGGGAAUGGCGCUUGUGACUGCAGUGCUGGAGUGCGGCAGAGGGGGAUGGAAUUCCGCGUGUAGCAGUGAAAUGCGUAGAUAUGCGGAGGAACACCGAUGGCGAAGGCAAUCCCCUGGGCCUGCACUGACGCUCAUGCACGAAAGCGUGGGGAGCAAACAGG
rnacentral:rRNA from 1 species